AGGACCGGGAACGUAUUCACCGCGGCAUGCUGAUCCGCGAUUACUAGCGAUUCCAGCUUCAUGCAGUCGAGUUGCAGACUGCAAUCCGGACUACGAUCCGUUUUUCAGGAUUGGCUCCCCCUCGCGGGUUGGCACCCUCUGUACAGACCAUUGUAUGACGUGUGAAGCCCUACCCGUAAGGGCCAUGAGGACUUAACGUCAUCCCCACCUUCCUCCAGUUUGUCACUGGCAGUCUCCUUAGAGUGCCCUUGCGUAGCAACUAAGGAUAAGGGUUGCGCUCGUUGCGGGACUUAACCCAACAUCUCACGACACGAGCUGACGAUAGCCAUGCAGCACCUGUGCGCCGGUUCUCUUGCGAGCACGCCCAAAUCUCUUCAGACUUCCGACCAUGUCAAGGGUAGGUAAGGUUUUUCGCGUUGCAUCGAAUUAAUCCACAUCAUCCACCGCUUGUGCGGGUCCCCGUCAAUUCCUUUAAGUUUUAAUCUUGCGACCGUACUCCCCAGGCGGUCAACUUCAUGCGUUAGCUUCGUUACUAAGGAUAGCAAUCCCCAACAACUAGUUGACAUCGUUUAGGGCGUGGACUACCAGGGUAUCUAAUCNUGUUUGCUCCCCAYGCUUUCGUGCCUCAGCGUCAGUAUUGGCCCAGGAGGCUGCCUUCGCCAUCGGUGUUCCUCCACAUCUCUACGCAUUUCACUGCUACACGUGGAAUUCCACCUUCCCUCUGCCAUACUCUAGCCUGCCARUCACGUAUGCUGUUCCCAGGUNAAGCCCGGGGAUUUCACAUCCGUCUUGACAAACCGCCUACGCACCCUUUACGCCCAGUCAUUCCGAUUAA
rnacentral:rRNA from 1 species